CAUAUCAAUAAGCGGAGGAAAAGAAACUAACAAAGGAUUCCCCUAGUAACUGCGAGUGAAGCGGGAAAAGCUCAAAUUUAAAAUCUGGCGGUCUUUGGCUGUCCGAGUUGUAAUCUAGAGAAGUGUUAUCCGCGUUGGACCGUGUACAAGUCUCCUGGAAUGGAGCGUCAUAGAGGGUGAGAAUCCCGUCUUUGACACGGACUGCCAGGGCUUUGUGAUGCGCUCUCAAAGAGUCGAGUUGUUUGGGAAUGCAGCUCAAAAUGGGUGGUAAAUUCCAUCUAAAGCUAAAUAUUGGCGAGAGACCGAUAGCGAACAAGUACCGUGAGGGAAAGAUGAAAAGAACUUUGGAAAGAGAGUUAAACAGUACGUGAAAUUGCUGAAAGGGAAACGCUUGAAGUCAGUCGCGUUGACCAGGGAUCAACCUUGCUUUUGCUUGGUGCACUUUCUGGUUAACGGGUCAGCAUCAAUUUUGACCAUUGGAAAAAGGUCAGGGGAAUGUGGCAUCUUCAGAUGUGUUUAUAGCCCUUGGUUGCAUACAAUGGUUGGGAUUGAGGAACUCAGCACGCCGAAAGGCCGGGUUUUUAAACCACGUACGUGCUUAGGAUGCUGGCAUAAUGGCUUUAAUCGACCCGUCUUGAAACACGGACCAAGGAGUCUAACAUGCCUGCGAGUGUUUGGGUGGAAAACCCGAGCGCGCAAUGAAAGUGAAAGUUGAGAUCCCUGUCGUGGGGAGCAUCGACGCCCGGACCAGACCUUUUGUGACGGUUCCGCGGUAGAGCAUGUAUGUUGGGACCCGAAAGAUGGUGAACUAUGCCUGAAUAGGGUGAAGCCAGAGGAAACUCUGGUGGAGGCUCGUAGCGAUUCUGACGUGCAAAUCGAUCGUCAAAUUUGGGUAUAGGGGCGAAAGACUAAUCGAAUCAUCUAGUAGCUGGUUCU
rnacentral:rRNA from 1 species